AGAGUUUGAUCCUGGCUCAGGAUGAACGCUGGCGGCGUGCCUAACACAUGCAAGUCGAGCGAGGGUUUGCUCAGUAUUGAGUAUUCUAAGUCUAGAAUGUUCAAUUCUGAGCAAAACCAAGCGGCGGACGGGUGAGUAACGCGUGGGUAACCUGCCCUAUACACGUGGAUAACAUACUGAAAAGUUUACUAAUACAUGAUAAUAUAUAUUUGCGGCAUCGCAGAUAUAUCAAAGUGUUAGCGGUAUAGGAUGGACCCGCGUCUGAUUAGCUAGUUGGUGAGAUAACUGCCCACCAAGGCGACGAUCAGUAGCCGACCUGAGAGGGUGAUCGGCCACAUUGGAACUGAGACACGGUCCAAACUCCUACGGGAGGCAGCAGUGGGGAAUAUUGCACAAUGGGCGAAAGCCUGAUGCAGCAACGCCGCGUGAACGAUGAAGGUCUUCGGAUCGUAAAGUUCUGUUGCAGGGGAAGAUAAUGACGGUACCCUGUGAGGAAGCCCCGGCUAACUACGUGCCAGCAGCCGCGGUAAUACGUAGGGGGCUAGCGUUAUCCGGAUUUACUGGGCGUAAAGGGUGCGUAGGUGGUCCUUCAAGUCGGUGGUUAAAGGCUACGGCUCAACCGUAGUAAGCCGCCGAAACUGGAGGACUUGAGUGCAGGAGAGGAAAGUGGAAUUCCCAGUGUAGCGGUGAAAUGCGUAGAUAUUGGGAGGAACACCAGUAGCGAAGGCGGCUUUCUGGACUGCAACUGACACUGAGGCACGAAAGCGUGGGUAGCAAACAGGAUUAGAUACCCUGGUAGUCCACGCUGUAA
rnacentral:rRNA from 1 species